rnacentral:rRNA from 1 species
GGGGGCGUUUACCACGGUAUGAUUCAUGACUGGGGUGAAGUCGUAACAAGGUAACCGUAGGGGAACCUGCGGUUGGAUCACCUCCUUA